UCCCCGAUAGUCUAGUGGUGAGGAUAUCUGCUUGUCAACCGGGAAUUUAUCCCUAAGUCGAUUCGCAGGGGACCGGGGUUCAAUUCCCCGUCGAGGAG
rnacentral:tRNA from 1 species